ACGUACACUCCUACGGGAGGCAGCAGUGGGGAAUAUUGGACAAUGGGCGCAAGCCUGAUCCAGCCAUGCCGCGUGAGUGAUGAAGGCCCUAGGGUUGUAAAGCUCUUUCACCGGAGAAGAUAAUGACGGUAUCCGGAGAAGAAGCCCCGGCUAACUUCGUGCCAGCAGCCGCGGUAAUACGAAGGGGGCUAGCGUUGUUCGGAAUUACUGGGCGUAAAGCGCACGUAGGCGGAUCGAUCAGUCAGGGGUGAAAUCCCAGGGCUCAACCCUGGAACUGCCUUUGAUACUGUCGAUCUGGAGUAUGGAAGAGGUGAGUGGAAUUCCGAGUGUAGAGGUGAAAUUCGUAGAUAUUCGGAGGAACACCAGUGGCGAAGGCGGCUCACUGGUCCAUUACUGACGCUGAGGUGCGAAAGCGUGGGGAGCAAACAGGAUUAGAAACCCUAGUAGUCCCAU
rnacentral:rRNA from 1 species